GCGACACGAGCAGAGGUUCUCUUUCUAGUGUUCUCUGUCCUGGAUGCCAGUUGGAGUUCGCCUGCAACAGGAUAUGACAUUGCUGAACAGGAUGGGGGAGUAGUUACUCAACAGUUUGUGAUGACUCUCUGGGACACGAGGUGCUGCAGAAGUCCUGUGGCCAGCUGGUUGUCCUCACUGUCCUGGCCUUCAGCAUUGAUGCAACAACAUAAUUUUGAGCUGCAGCAAAGGCUAGCCUCCCAAUCCCAGACUUCAGCAGAGCUUCGACAACUAAGGUCACGGUGAUGGCAGAAACAUGACUCAUGCACUUGUGACAGCGGUUUGAGCUGCAACAAAUGCUAGCCUCCCAAUCCCAGACUUCAGCAGAGCUUCAACAACUAAGACACUAGGUUUGUGGGAGGUGAACUGCACCUUUCCUCCACAGAGGACGAUAGCAGGGGGCAGAGGCAAAAAGCUGCAGUCAAGACAGUUUUCCAGCAGCCUUCAUGGUCGGUACAGGAAGCUACAGAAGCAGUGACAUCCGAUUAGACCUGAAGAUGUUAUCGGACCAAUCUGCAUGCUUGUACUCAACCUCCAAUAAUUGUUUUGAUGAUGAUCUUCUGUUUGACCAGGGAGCCCAUUAAAAUGCUAUGAUCAUUGUGACAGGGUUUAUGGAUCAACCUCCAUAUUAGACGAGUUCUCACCUAAAGCAGCCAUCCUAUCAGUUUGCUGCUGUGUAUGAAUGAUCUGACCAGAGUUGAUUGCUGGGCCUCUCAAGCUACAUAAAUUAAACAUUAAUGUUGAAAAUACAGAGGAAAGAAAUACAAGACAGCAGUUUUUCAUUGUUGAUCUGUUUAGUUUGUUAUUGAUCUAUCAAAUGUUUAGACUGUUGGGGCUUCACAUGUUAUUUUAAGAAAAGUUGUGUUGCUUAAUGCUUUAAGAAUUAAAUCAGUAAUGUUCAUAUUUUAGACUCAA